rnacentral:rRNA from 1 species
CCUACGGGUGGCAGCAGUGGGGGAUAUUGCACAAUGGGGGAAACCCUGAUGCAGCGACGCCGCGUGAGUGAAGAAGGGUUUCGGCUCGUAAAGCUCUGUUGGUAGUGAAGAAAGAUAGAGGUAGUAACUGUCCUUUAUUUGACGGUAAUUACUUAGAAAGUCACGGCUAACUACGUGCCAGCAGCCGCGGUAAUACGUAGGUGGCAAGCGUUGUCCGGAUGUAUUGGGCGUAAAGCGAGUGCAGGCGGUUCAAUAAGUCUGAUGUGAAAGCCUUCGGCUCAACCGGAGAAUUGCAUCAGAAACUGUUGAACUUGAGUGCAGAAUAGGAGAGUGGAACUCCAUGUGUAGCGGUGGAAUGCGUAGAUAUAUGGAAGAACACCAGUGGCGAAGGCGGCUCUCUGGUCUGCAACUGACGCUGAGGCUCGAAAGCAUGGGUAGCGAACAGGAUUAGAUACCCCGGUAGUC